rnacentral:rRNA from 1 species
GACGAACGCUGGCGGCGUGCUUAACACAUGCAAGUCGAACGGUGAAGCUCCAGCUUGCUGGAGUGGAUCAGUGGCGAACGGGUGAGUAACACGUGAGCAACCUGCCCCUGACUCUGGAAUAAGCGCUGGAAACGGCGUCUAAUACUGGAUACGAGAAGGGCCCGCAUGGGCACUUUCUGGAAAGUUUUUCGGUUGGGGAUGGGCUCGCGGCCUAUCAGCUUGUUGGUGAGGUAAUGGCUCACCAAGGCGACGACGGGUAGCCGGCCUGAGAGGGCGACCGGCCACACUGGGACUGAGACACGGCCCAGACUCCUACGGGAGGCAGCAGUGGGGAAUAUUGCACAAUGGGCGAAAGCCUGAUGCAGCGACGCCGCGUGAGGGAUGACGGCCUUCGGGUUGUAAACCUCUUUCAGCAGGGAAGAAGCGAAAGUGGCGGUACCUGCAGAAGAAGCACCGGCUAACUACGUG